UAAACGUUUUAAUUGGUGCGUGGUAGUUUCCUUUAAGUCGCUGCUGUGAAGAAAAUUGAUGCUAUAGCAAUGAAGACCGUACACGAAAAGGACUUGCUUUUCCUGCUGCUCCUUGCUAGCUUUUUUGACUCAUCUUACUGUGAGGGUUACGAAGAUUACACAGGGCCUAUUGAGACAAUAUCCGUAACCACUGCUGUUCCUCUAUCAAGCAGAUCAGAGAACAUGUCCGUAACAACAGAAGCUGCAAAAAUUGCUAAAGUUAAUGAGUUUUUCCUCAGAUGAACAUAUAUGCUUUCAAAUCGAUUCGAGAGACUACUGUUUAAAAACUAGUUUCAAAUCUGUGGCGCAAUGGAAGGACUCAAUUGCUCAAUGUUCAGCAAUCGGAGCUACAUUAGUUACGAAUUUAACCAGCACUCUAAUGUCGGACAUUUCAUCAAAAUUGCACCAAAUUUUUUCAGAGCUAAAAAUGAGUGAAUCAGUCAAGUUUAUCUGGGUUGGUCUUUCUUACACUGGCGACAGCAACGGAAACUUCGAGUGGUUGAAUAAAGAGAAGCUCAGCAGUGAAAGUGCCUUGUGGGAUUCAGGAUUCUACGGAGGUCAACCUAAUAACCAUGAUGGAAGAGUUGGGGAAUCCUGUGCAGCUCUCCAAAUCCAAACAGCCAAAUUGGUCGACUUAAAUUGUAACAGACCACAAUUCUUCAUGUGCACAAAAGAUGACUGAAGCAGAGAUGACUCGGUUCUCAACGUUUUCUUUAUCUUCGGCAUAAGUAAAUAAAAUUCAAUUCACAUUG